rnacentral:pre_miRNA from 1 species
AGGAGGAACAGCCCCAGUGGCGGGGCAGCUCUGGUGCCCUGGAUUCAGCUCCGGCAGGAACCGCAGAGCUCUCCGUCUGCAGGGCCUGGAGGCUCCGGGGCGGG